rnacentral:lncRNA from 10 species
AUAAGGCCUUUUCCUUCAAACAGGAUUAUUUACCCUUAUAAUGUCUCACCAAUGCCAGAGUAAGCAAAACACCUGCAGAUCUAAUAGAAAACAAAUUAUAGUUCCUUACAUGUCAUAAAAUAAAAUAUAGCUUUUAAUCUGUCCUUAUUUUGGAUAUUUCUCCCAAUGAAAGUAAAGUACAAACCUUUUUUAGCAUCUUGUUCUGUUUGUGGAAGAACUCUACUUUGAUAUCACCACACACAGGUAACGGCUGAGGGAACUCAAAGUACAUGAACUUGUCUUCCCGUCGUGUGGGUCCUGAAUUGGAGGAAUAUAUCUUCACCUUUAGCUGGCAGACCACAAACUGAGGAUCUGCAUGGUUAAAUACAUACCAGUAUUAUUUCACAGGAAAUGCCUUUAACUGUCAAACUGUCAAAAACGAUUUUAAUGAUUAAUAUCAGCAAUAUACACGAAAUAUGGAUUCUGUAUCUGCAAUCUUGAUCUCAAGCAAAUCAACUGAAAUAAAUGAAAUAAAAAUAUAAACAAUGUAAGAUUUUCUCCAGUUUGAACCUUCAAAAUAAGGUCCUAUUACUUAUAUAAAAGUCAAUUCCUAUUUCAUGAAUAGUAAGUCCCAAAAUUAGACUUCUAGUGGCAGAGUAACUUCAAAACUUUAACAUUAAAAUCAUACUAAAAAUCCUAAUACAAAUAAAAACUUUAAGCAUUAAAAACGAUGAAAUAAUUAUCUGGUACAUUUGUGAACUACAUCAAAAGUAACUUUUAAGACAGAUAUCAACAGGGAGUAGUCACGAAAAAUUUUUAAAUGUAAAGAAGACAGAUAUUUGCUAUAGUAUUCUUAAGUCUCUAGCAUGCGGCAAAGAUCACAAAAUACAAAUCACUACAUGUUCACAAGAGAAAGAGGAUAAAACCUAUAACAAUGUUAUAAAAAAUUUCAAAAACACAAGUCUAAAUAUUUAUUAAAAAAUUAACCAUCAUUCAUUUUCCUAUAGCUCACAUUUUAAAGGUAUAUAAUGCCACCAUCAUAACAGGAAACAAGAGAUUUGAAAUUUCUGUAAAGAAAUGUAACAGAUUUCAAGUAAAAACUGCAGCACAACCUUCCUUUCCUCCAAAACACCUCAUUUUCAUUAACAAGUAUUCUGGCUUUGGCUCAUGUCUGUUUUAAAUAACUGGUAAAAAAUAAAGUAACUGGUAAAAUAUAACUUCUCAAAAUUCAUCAUGCUUUUACACUAGCAGUUGAACCAAAUGGUGGGAAAGUGUGUUAAGGGAAGGAUUGUAUGUUUUAUUUUUUAAAUCUACUCAUAAAUUCAUUUAUAGCUAAUGACCUUAAUGACAGAAAUUAAAGACUGAUGAAUGUUAUGAUCCCAGGACUUCAAAAACUGAAAGUUACCUAAAUAAUUUGACAAAGUAUAAUUCAUUUGUCAUACGCUGAGGAAUUAGAAAACAAAAGUCCAUUACAAAGAAAUUUAUUAACCUUAGGAGGUUAAGAAGUGCCAUUUGAAGAAAACAUGCCAAGAUAAUAGAGAAACAGGAACACAAAGUUACAUAAAGUGUAUGAGAAAUAUUAUACAUAUUUAAAUAUAUUUUGUAUUUAUAUUACGUAUAUAUAUAUAUAUAUAUAAAACAAAAAAUUCUCAGCACCAAAAGGUGUCAUUAUUCUAAAAGAUAAACAAAAGUCUUACAUUUUUAUCAAUGUGACUGAGAACAAGGCAAAGCUAAACCAAGUUAAAUGAAAUUUCCAGUUUAGUAAACACCUACUACUAUUUCUAUGUAAUAUCUAAAGCAGUAUCAGCCAUCACAUAAUUAAUAUGUUUGAUAAAAGCAUGCAGGCUACUCCAACAUGGUCUUCUAAGACACUUAUUAUUCAAAAAAGCUACCACAAACAGGAUAAAUAUUACACCAACAAUCUAUCAAUAAAUUUCACUUCCUUGACUCAAAGUUCAAAGUGCAAUGAGCCAUUUCAUAAGACUUUAUGUGAUACUGAAAUUUCACUGGGAAAUCUAACUUCAAGAAGCAAAUAAACAAAGUAGGAUUCCAAAGCUGUGAUAAAAUUAACCAGAAUAAAACUGAAAAACUGCCUUGUAAUCUUUUUGAUUUAAACUCCAUUAAUUCAGAAUCUGAUAAUCCUGAUUUUAGGACUUUAAAAAGCAAAUUAAUAGUAUUUCCAGGUUUCAAUUAAACUACAUCUAAAAUGUGCAUCUUCAAAUAUUAUAGUAUUAUAUUAAAAAUGUAUAAGUAGUAAAGAUUUCCUCAAUCACUAAAGAAAAUAAUCUUCUCUGCAAUAUGAAUAUCAUGUUUCAGAUAGAUAAGACCUAACUAAGCAGAAGUCCAAUAUUAGUAUGGUUCUGUGGACUUCUACAAUAUAUAUCCUUGGAUAUAUAUGACUAUGUUCCAAAAAAUAAAUAACAAGAUCCAGACCUAGUGAUAUAGUUUGGAUAUCUUUCCCUCCCAAAUCUCAGGUUGAAUUGUAAUCCCCAGUGCUAGAGGUGGGGCCUGGUGGAAGAAGCUUGAAUCAUGGGGGCAGAUCCCACAUGAAUGGCUUGGGCCAUCCUCUUGGUGGUAAGUGAGCUGGCAUUUAAAAGUGGGUGGCACCUUCUCCCCACCACUCCUUCUCUUUCUUGCUCCCAUUCUCACCAUGCUCCCCUUUUGCCUUCAGCCAUGAUUGGAGGCUUCCUGAGGCCUCCCCAGAAGCAGAUGCUGCUAUGCUUUCUGUACAGCGUGCAGAACCAUGAGCCAAUUAAAGAAGAAUUCAUAAAGAAAACAGGUUAAACCUGUUUAAUACUCAGUCUCAGGUAUUUCUUUAAAGCAAUGCAAAAACAGACUAAUACACCUAGUAAAUGAAAAUCAGAAUGUAAAGAAUGGAAUGAUAAAUAGUGGAGACUUGAAACGGUGAGUAGAAGAUGAGAAAUUACUUAAUGGGUACAAUGUAUAUUAUUCAGAUGAUGGACAACCUAAAAGCCCUGACUUGAAACUAUACACUCUAUGCAUGUAACAAAAUUACACUUGUGUCCCUAAAUCUAUACAAGCAAAACAAUUUUUUUAAGUCAGAAUUAAAUUUCCUUGGAUAUAUACAUAUUGUUAUAGUCUUGAAUGAAAACCACAUUGAUCAUCUUUUAGUAACAUUUUUAACCCUGUUAAAUGUCUAGAAUAUAGUAGCUUUUUCCAUCUCUUAGAAAUAUUAAGACAAAAAUCAAGAAAAAGCUGCCAAUCCCUACAGAAGAUGCUGUAUUUUUCAGCACUAUCUGUUCUCUACAUUGAUUCCUCUUCUUCUUCCUAAACCCAAGUUGCCAUUCUUAUCUCAGUCCUCACCCUCUCCUUUUCUUCCUUUCCUCCAAGACUUCCCAUGCCCAAACGCCACACCAUUAUUUAUAUGAAAGGCUUAACUACUCUCCCUUUCCUGAUGAUGCCCAAAAUAUCGAUAUAUCUCCUACCUAGAUUCGAACCCAUACUCCCAAGUACCCACUGAAUAUUGUCAUGUGAGAAGCUCACUUUUACCGGAUUUAAAACACGUUUAAAACCAAAAUAUCAACAUUAAUGUCUCCAAGUCUCAGAUUCACUUUUCUUUCUUUCUGAGACUAUUUCACCUGACUGGGCUCAAAACUUUUACAAAAUCUUUGGCUAUAAAUGGCAAAUAAAAAAUUAAUGAAAUCCCAUUUGAUUGUCUUAGCAUACCUGCAUUAAGGCAAGUUUUAUUACUGGUUUCUUUUCCACUAUUUUUUCCUCUUGCGAUUACAACUUUGCAUACAACUGUCCUUAAAACAUGGUUUAGUCCUCAAGUAUUAUCAUGACAUCUCAGUAUUUAUGAAAUCAAGUCUGUUAUCCCCAUUCAAGAUCCUCUAACAGUCACUCACACGUUCCAUACCUAUUCUCUGACACUACAUUCUUGUCCAGCUUUUUCCUUCUGCUGCACUUCCACUCAAGCUAUUUCCCAUUGCCUGUAAUACUUCUUUCAGUAGUUUUUAAUUUAUUUACUUAUUUUUUUUUUAAGACGGAGCCUCACUCUUACCGCCCUGGCUGGAGUGCAAUGACGCAAUCUCGGCUCACUGCAACCUCCACCUUCGGCUUCAAGCAAUUCUCCUGCCUCAGCCUCCCAAGUAGCUGGGACUACAGGCACGCAUCACCAUGCCUGGCUAAUUUUUGUAUUUUUAGUAGAGACAGGGUUUCACCAUGUCGGCCAGCCUGAUCUCAAACUCCUGACCUCAGGUGAUCCAUCCACCUUGACCUCCCAAAGUGCUGGGAUUACAGGCGUGAACCACUGCGUCUACCACUGCGUCUGGCCACUUCUUUCAGUUUUAAUGCCAGUCUAAACUGUAUGUUUUCUUCAAUGUUCAAUAAAGAACUGGUGAACUUCCUUUAAGAAACUGUCUGACAACCUUCAAAAGCUUUUCUGAAUGUAGCAUUUAUAAUUUAUAUACACAACUUCCCAUUUAUUUUAUUUUAUAUUUAUUUAUUUAUUUCUAAGACAAAGUCUUGCUCCGAUGUCCAGGCUGCAGUGCAGUGGCAUGAUCUCGGCUAACUGCAACCUCUGCCUCCUGGAUUCAAGCGAUUCUCCUGCCUCAGCCUCCCAAGAAGCUGGGACUACAGGUGUGUGCCACUAUGCCCAGCUAAUUUUUGUGUUUUUAGUAGAGAUGGGGUUUCACCUUGUUGUCCAGGCUGGUCUCGAACUCCUGAGAUCAAGCGAUCCGCCUGCCUCAGCCUCCCAAAGUGCUGGGGUUACACGUGUGAGCCUCGUGCCUAGCCCCACAACCUCCCACUUAAUUACAUAUAGCUCAUAUUUUAUUAAAACUUUACUACAGUAUUAAAUCAUAGUACAUAAGAGGAAACUAGAAAAUGAGGAAAGAUUACUAAAGUGAAUGUUUUCUUUCCCUUAAUAUCUGCAUGAUACUUUAUACCUUUCUCUUGGCUCUUACACUGAUAUCAAUACUAUAGGAAGAGCAUGAGUUUUUCUUCCUUUUUCCUUCUCUAUGAAUCUGUUACAUUCAUCUGUCAGUCACUUCCAACAGCUCAGUACCUUGCAUUCAGCAGUUUUAAAAAUUGUACUGAGAUGAAAAGAGCAUCAAUGAGACUCUUUAGAAGACUUUAACAUGCUAUACUAAUAAAUCUGUGGUCUUUGAUAAAGUUAUCUGUCUCUAAGAAUACAGAAAAGAUCUGAUGAGGAUGAUCACACCUAUCUGACAACAACAUCAGAGAAGUAGAAUAGGAUCAGGAUGACUGAGGUAGACUUAUAGAGAUUAGGGUAAAAGGGAGAAAUAAAUAGAGGCAGACAUCAGUGACAUAAUCUGUAUUUAGUACUUAUCCAGGAAGUCUCAGAUUUCAAAGUCUCUUCAUUUUAUUGACAAGCAAACUCAAAGAGAGGUAGAUGAUAUGCUCAGGGUUACGCAAUAGAUUAAUGACAGAGAUAGGACUAGAAUCUGGAUCUAAAUCCAGGUUUUCUCUAACACUCCACAUACUUUGAUUCCUAUUCUUUACUCAUCAUACUUCAGCUUGCUGCCACGUCUUAUCACUUCUUCCUUUCCUUUUCAUUGCUUUGUCACCAUUACUGUCAAUACCUAGUCUUCCUAAGAUAUUAAGGAAUUGAUCCCUGCCCUAAGAGCAGCAAAUUGCUGAACUCCUCUGGUGGACCUCUGCUGGACCUCAUGCUGGACCUCUGAUGGGACAGGUUCUUCCAUCAUCUAGUCAGAAUUGGGCUGUAUUUGGUGGUUAUAACACAGAAUAUUUCUUUCAUAAAUAUAAUUUGGCUUCGACUACAUUAAAACCCAUUGCUUUUGGCUUCUUUAGCCCAAUGAGUUGAACAACAAAGCUAAUUAAUUUGUUCAAAUGCUUCAGAAAUAUAGUCUCCUGCAUAAAUUUCAAAUGUGGUAAAUUUCUUUCUAAAUUUUUAUGUAAACUUCUAGAUAUGGUUAAGAAAACUGUUCCAAUACAUGGAAGGAUGAGAAUUUCAAGCACUUACUGCAAGUUCCGCCACUGAACAUUGGAAUAGUUUCAAACAUCAUCUUGUGAAACAACAGUGCCACUGGUCUAUAAUCCAGAUGAUUCUUUAACAGGUAGCUAUAAUAAUACACAUAGCGCCUCUGACUGGGAAUAGUUACUCCCUGGUGGACAGAAAAAAAAGAGAAGCCAAAUUGAAAAAAAAUGUUCCAUUAUAGUUAUUUCACUAAAUUGCUAUGGUAACUGGGUCGUAGCCAUUUAAGAACAUAUAUACAUUAGAAAUUUGACCUUAAAUGAUUAAUACUUAAAUCCAGCUCAAUAAUAAAUAAGAGCAAUAUCAAUACAAAGGAUAUCAGAAUAACUCUCCUCCCUUAAAACAAUUAUCAUAACAACCCAUUUAUUCAAAGGUCACAACAGCGCUCUGACCCAUGAACCCCAUAGGCAAAGGCCACUGCAUAUCCAGAAUAAGUGUCAAAGGCCUCUGCCCUACAGCUAUGCUCUAUACACCUAGGGCUCCCCACAAGGAUUUAUGGACUCCUUAAACACACAGCUCCUCACAAACUUGAUUACCUACUUUCCAGGGGAAAGAGUAUCAGAAUCAGCAAACUAGACAGAGGCAUAUUGCCUUUAAGGCAGAAACAGCAGUAGCAAAAAGUGAUGCUGGCAUUAGGGCCCAACAAAAACAGGACUAUGCAGUUGAUGUAAAUGUGUGAAACAAUCUUCUAACACAGGUAAAGCUAUCCUUGUACUACAUGCAUCUCUUUGUUGAAGAAACCAGGGAAAAAUGAAGUGUUUUAGAAAAUGUAAGUAUUACAAAUGAUUAAAAUGUAUCUAGUUCUCAAGAGUUUAUUAAACAAUAAAACAUAAAUAAAAUUUUGUAAUACAUGUGGCACUUAAUAGGGGAAGCUGAGUUAUCUAAAGAGAAAAAUCUAAUAUGUACAACAAUGCAUUCACUAACGAAGACGAAUAAAUGAGGUAUUUAAGGGUUUUUUUUAUUAGACAUGUGACUUAAGAAAAAUCCAACCUAAAAAUGUAAGACAAACAAUAAGCAACAUUAAGAAGUUUAACGGUAAAAGUAACUUACAGAACACUGUACCUUAAAUGAAAGUAUACUCAAGAGGAAAAAGAAUUUGCAAUUAUUUCUCUUUUAAGUUACUACUGGCAUCUAAAUCUCCCCAAUGUCUUAAAAAUUGUAGACACAACCUUCUUCUCCCUAAUGAAAAAUAUAAAACAUAUUUAUGUGAAUUUAAAAACAGGCCAGGUGCAGUGGCUCACAACCUGUAAUCCCAGCACUCUGGGAGGCCGAGGUGGGCUGAUCACUUGAGGUCAGGAGUUGGAGACCAGCCUGGCCAACAUGGUGAAACCCCGUCUCUACCAAAAAUACAAAAAAUUAGCUGGGCGUGGUGAUGUGUACCUGCAGUCCCAGCUACUUGGGAGGCUGAGGCAGGACAAUCACUUGAGCCUGGGAGACGGAGGUUGCAAUGAGCUGAGAUCGUGCCACUGCACUCCAACCUGGACCACAGAGAAGACUGUCUCAAAAAACAAACAAAAAACCAGGUAUGCUGAAUAGCAAGUAUGUAGGUAUCCACUGUAGUACUCCUAAUAUUUUUUCAAAGAUGAGCAUGAUUUUAUUAUAGACAAUUUAAAAAUAUGUGUAUGUGUGUAUAAAUGUCAAAAAAAAUCGGUAUAAACCAUUUCAAAUCAUGACAAGUGAUUUAAGAUUUUUAGCCACAGUAUAAAGACCAAAAUUUUAUAAAUAAAAGACUUGUAUUUGAAUGCUGACAGUCAAAAUACAAACUCUGAUGUGUUUUCGAAGGAAAAUGAGGACAAUAAUAUGUACCCUUCCUUAACAGGGCUCUCAUGAGGAUCAAACACCAGAUGCAGUUACACAAAAGCAUGCUAAAACUACAAAAUGGUACACGGUUUUAGCAAUUCUGUACCUGUAUUCAAGGUGCAGUUUUGGAAUAGCUGGAAUUUUAUUUCUAUAUAAUUUUCUUUUUUCUUUUUUUUUUUUUUUUUU